rnacentral:rRNA from 1 species
GGGGAGUACGGCCGCAAGGUUAAAACUCAAAUGAAUUGACGGGGGCCCGCACAAGCGGUGGAGCAUGUGGUUUAAUUCGAUGCAACGCGAAGAACCUUACCUGGUCUUGACAUCCACAGAACUUAGCAGAGAUGCUUUGGUGCCUUCGGGAACUGUGAGACAGGUGCUGCAUGGCUGUCGUCAGCUCGUGUUGUGAAAUGUUGGGUUAAGUCCCGCAACGAGCGCAACCCUUAUCCUUUGUUGCCAGCGGUU